CGGGACGGGUGAGUAACGCGUGGGUAACCUGCCUCAUACAGGGGGAUAACAGUUAGAAAUGACUGCUAAUACCGCAUAAGCGCACGGGGAUGCAUAUUCUUGUGUGAAAAACUCCGGUGGUAUGAGAUGGACCCGCGUCUGAUUAGCUAGUUGGUGAGGUAACGGCUCACCAAGGCGACGAUCAGUAGCCGACCUGAGAGGGUGACCGGCCACAUUGGGACUGAGACACGGCCCAAACUCCUACGGGAGGCAGCAG
rnacentral:rRNA from 1 species